GAUGAAGAACGCAGCGAAAUGCGAUAAGUAGUGUGAAUUGCAGAAUUCAGUGAAUCAUCGAAUCUUUGAACGCACAUUGCGCCCCUUGGUAUUCCAUGGGGCAUGCCUGUUCGAGCGUCAUUUGUACCUUCAAGCUUUGCUUGGUGUUGGGUGUUUGUCUCGCCUUUGCGUGUAGACUCGCCUUAAAAUAAUUGGCAGCCGGCGUAUUGAUUUCGGAGCGCAGUACAUCUCGCGCUUUGCACUCAUAACGACAGCGUCCAAAAGUACAUUUUCACUCUUGACCUCGGAUCAGGUAGGGAUACCCGCUGAACUUAAGCAUAUCAAUAAGCGGAGGA
rnacentral:misc_RNA from 1 species